rnacentral:lncRNA from 1 species
ACUUUUAAUUGGCGUUUUAGGCCAAAUUUUGGCUUAAUUUGGUCCAAAAUUGGCUUGGAACAAGUCAGAAUUGAAUUGGGUGAGGCUGGACCCAAACCAUCCCAAAAUUGGCUCAAAUUCACCCAAAAUCACUCAAAGUUGGAGUCUGAUGGCGCUGUUGCUUUUAACUGGAUGUGUUUUGGCCCAAAAUUGGCUCAAAUUGACCCAAAACAGGCUUGGAAUGAGGUAACACUGAAUUGGGUUGGGCUGGGUCAAAACAGUUCCGAAAUUGGCCCAAAAUUGCCCAAAAUUCACUCAAAAUGUCUCAGAGUUGGGUGUUGAUGGCAUCAUCAGAGCCAAAUUGGCUUUGUCUGCUUUUUAUAAAUAUUGACCCAAAAUGUCCCCAACUUUACCCAAAACAGGGUUCUGAUGACAUCAUCAGCCCCGAGAUGGCGUUCCUCCCUUGUUUUUACCCCAAAUUUUCCCAAAACCUCCCAAGUUUAAAGCUUGAUGACAUCAUCAGCCUCAAGACAACGCCCUGCCCUAGUUUUUACCCAAAUUCCCUCAAAAAUACCCAAAUUUCAGUUCUGAUGACGUCAUCAGCCCCAGCAUGGUGCUCCUCCCACAUUUUUACCCCAAAUUUACCCAAAUUCUGGUUCUGAUGACAUCAUCAGCCCUAGAGUUGUUCCCCACCCUCGUUUUUACCCAUUUCCCGCCCUCGUUUUUACCCAAAAUUGCCCAAAUUUACCCCAAUUUGGGUCUCUCAGGUGCUGCCGCCGCUGCUCGGACACAAAAUCCCCCAAAUCCGCCCCAAAAUCCUCCUGGCCCCUCCCCCUCCCUUAGCCCCUGCCCCCUCAGGCCCCGCCCUCUUUUAUUUUCUUUUAAUAAAAGUGAAUUUUGGGGUGAAAAAUGCCGAUUUAGGGUUUAUUUACAACUGGAGCCACGCCCCUCUGUGGGCGUGGCCAAUAAAUAACGCUGUACACGGAUAAAGGGCGGGGCUUAUGUACAAGAGGGCAGGGUCAUGCGGGAAGGGGCGGGACCAUGCAAAAUAAAGAACAAGGGGGUGGGGCCUGAUGAGAAUAA